ACUUUAAUGAUCAUGGCUCAAAUGACACGUGGGGGUAUGGAUUAGGCAUGCAAGUCGUGCGAGAGGAGACUUCGGUCUCUGGACAGCGGCGAACUGGGGUAGUAAGGCGUCGGAAUGUACCCACAGGUCUGGGAUAGCGGCGGGAAACUGCCGGUAAUACCGGAUGACCUCUUUGGAGCAAAGGUGUGACUCCGCCUGUGGAGCAGCCGACGUGAUACCAGCUAGUUGGUGAGGUAAUGGCUCACCAAAGGCUCAGACGUCUAGGGGUGUGAGAGCAUGGGCCCCACACUUGGGACUGAGACACCUGGCCCAGACACCUACGGGGUGGGCUUGCCAGUCGAGAAUCUUCGGCAAUGGGCGCAAAGCCUGACCCGAGCGACGCCACGUGCGGGAUGACGGGCCUCGGGUUGUAAACCGCUGUCGAAGCGGGGAUGCAACGUCACGGGAAAGCCAAUCUUCUCGUGUUUGACAGAGCCCUGGAGGAAGCGCGGGCUAAGUACGUGCCAGCAGCGCGGUAAGACGUACUGCGCGAACGUUAUUCGGAAUCCACUGGGCUUAAAGGGUGCGCAGGCGGUUUGUCAAGCCCGUGGUGAAAGGUCCCGGCUAACCGGGGACGUGCUUCGGGGGACUGACCNAGNUUGGCAAAGCCUUAAAGGGGGU
rnacentral:rRNA from 1 species